rnacentral:rRNA from 1 species
GACGAACGCUGGCGGCGUGCUUAACACAUGCAAGUCGAACGGAAAGGCCUUUUCGGAGGUACUCGAGUGGCGAACGGGUGCGUAACACGUGGGUGAUCUGCCCUGCACUCUGGGAUAAGCCUGGGAAACUGGGCCUAAUACCGGAUAGGACCGCACUUUAGUGUGUGUGGUGGAAAGUUUUUUCGGUGUAGGAUGAGCCCGCGGCCUAUCAGCUUGUUGGUGGGGUAAUGGCCUACCAAGGCGGCGACGGGUAGCCGGACUGAGAGGUUGGUCGGCCACAUUGGGACUGAGAUACGGCCCAGACUCCUACGGGAGGCAGCAGUGGGGAAUAUUGCACAAUGGGCGCAAGCCUGAUGCAGCGACGCCGCGUGGGGGAUGACGGCCUUCGGGUUGUAAACUCCUUGCGCCAGGGACGAAGCGUUUUGUGACGGUACCUGGAGAAGAAGCACCGGCUAACUACGU